CCUACGGGUGGCAGCAGUGGGGAAUAUUGGACAAUGGGCGAAAGCCUGAUCCAGCCAUGCCGCGUGUGUGAAGAAGGCCUUCGGGUUGUAAAGCACUUUCAGUGGGGAAGAAAGCCUUGGGGCUAAUACCCUCGAGGAAGGACAUCACCCACAGAAGAAGCACCGGCUAACUCCGUGCCAGCAGCCGCGGUAAUACGGAGGGUGCGAGCGUUAAUCGGAAUUACUGGGCGUAAAGCGCACGUAGGCGGUCUGAUAAGCCGGUUGUGAAAGCCCCGGGCUCAACCUGGGAACGGCAUCCGGAACUGUCAGGCUAGAGUGCUGGAGAGGAAGGUAGAAUUCCCGGUGUAGCGGUGAAAUGCGUAGAGAUCGGGAGGAAUACCAGUGGCGAAGGCGGCCUCCUGGACUGACACUGACGCUGAGGUGCGAAAGCGUGGGUAGCAAACAGGAUUAGAUACCCCAGUAGUC
rnacentral:rRNA from 1 species